rnacentral:lncRNA from 1 species
GAGGGUUUCUGGAAAUAUUUGCUUUCCUGAUUCAGAUGUCUCCCCUUCCUUCCUUCCUUCUUCUUCCUUUGUAUUUCUACCCAAAACAUGGGUUUGAGGUCUGGAGCUGCAGCAGCCAUCUCGUACCAACAGACAACAAGCUUAAGGAUGAAUGCCAACAUGCUGGGGAUGGUGAAACAGGAAGCUAUACUAAGCCAAGGAAUUCCCAGGAGAAUGAGGAGGUUGGUACCAUUCACACCACUGAGGUCCCUAAGGUCGGGAAGAAGGCCGCUGUGAUGGAGAGCCUGCCCUCCAUGACUCUCAACCUUGAAUAAGAAUGGGGGAGUCAGAAGAAAUCCAAAGCAGUUCUAGGAAAUUGAGUGCCACAUUCUUUUCUGCACGCCUGAGAGUAUGUCUUAUGCACCUUUGCAUGCCCCAUUCCGGACACUACGACUCCCAUGAAUUGUCCAAAGAAAAUAAUUCAAAGGACUCAAAUAGAUGUUAAAGGCUUCAUUCAGCUGAUGAGGUCAGGGAGCACCUGAAGGCCAGCCAGGUAUAAAAUGAUGUGAUCAGACUACCAGAGCUCAAGAAGUCCCCAGUGAUCAAGGCUGAGCAGGAGGAAUGAGCAGAAGCUCACAGAAUUGGCGUGUAUCUCUAGCUUGAUGAAGCAGGCAUUUAAUACAGGGCAUUUCAUGAGAUCUGAGAAAGGAGAGCAGAGUCCCGGUCCCCUAAGAGCAAGCUCUCCCCCUCCUCCACUACUGUGCCCUCCGGCUUCAGAGAGGAGUCAGACUGAACUCUGCAUGUUGUACUAAGGAUCAAAUGAGGAAACCUGUGUGAAAGCACCUCACCCGCUAGAGGCCCUGGAAGCAAUGGCCUUCUCCUGCUUCUCCUGCAAACCCAACUCUCACAGAAGACACAGCCUGCUGAGGGCCCUGGCUCCACUCUCUAUGACCCAAGGGCAACGCGGUAUCACUUCCCUGCCACCAGUCUGGAGCCUGUGAAAGCUGAGUCCAGGAAGAGGAAAUUGGGACACAGACACGCACAGACGGAAAACCAUGUGAAGACACAAGGAGAAGACGGCUGUUUGCAAGCGAAGGAGAGAGGCCUCAGGAGAAACCAGCCCUGCCAACUCCUUGAUCUCAGACUCCAGAACGGAUCAACUUGUCAAUAUCCAUAAAAAAUCCAAUUGGGGGGCUGGCCCCGUGGCCGAGUGGUUAAGUUCACGCGCUCCGCUGCAGGCGGCCCAGUGUUUCGUUAGUUCGAAUCCUGGGCGCAGACAUGGCACUGCUCAUCAGACCACGCUGAGGCAGCGUCCCACAUGCCACAACUAGAAGAACCCACAACGAAGAAUACACAACUAUGUACCUGGGGGCUUUGGGGAGAAAAAGGAAAAAAAUAAAAUCUUUAAAAAAAAAAAAAUCCAAUUGGGAUUUUGAUAAAGAUUGUGUUGAAUAUACAGAUCAACUUGGAGAAUAUUGUCAUCUUAACAAUAUCAACCCUUCCAAUCUAUGACCAUGGCAUGCCCUUUUAUCUAUUUAGAUAAUUUCUUUCAACAAUGUUGUACAGUUUUAGAUAUACAAGUUUUGUGCUUCUUUUCAUUAAAUUUAUCCCUAAAAAUGUUAUUCUUUUUCACAGUAUUGUAAAUAAAAGUAUUUUCUUAAUUU